GAUGAACGCUGGCGGCGUGCCUAAUACAUGCAAGUCGAACGGAGAAUGUAGCAAUACGUUCUUAGUGGCGAACGGGUGAGUAACGCGUUGGUGACCUGCCCCGAAGUGUGGGAUAACAGUCCGAAAGGAUUGCUAAUACCGCAUGUGGUCACCGGGAUUUGAAGCCCGGUGACUAAAGGAGUAAUUCGCUUCGGGAGGGGCCUGCGUCCCAUCAGCUAGUUGGUAGGGUAAUGGCCUACCAAGGCUUCGACGGGUAGGGGACCUGAGAGGGUGACCCCCCACAAUGGAACUGAAACACGGUCCAUACACCUACGGGUGGCUG
rnacentral:rRNA from 1 species